CGCCGUAUCCCUCUCUCUCCCUCUCCCUCUCCCUCUCCCCUCCUCCUUCCCCAAAUUGCCAAAUCCCUAAAUCUAACCCUAACUCACCCCCUAUCUCUCUCUCUCUCUCUCUAUCUGUGAAGUACUCCCGCAAUCGACCUAUUCGCCGUUGCCUCUGCCUUUGGUUGCUGCCGCUGCCUCCGCCUCCGGUUGCCGCCGCCUCCAGCUCGAUCGGGCUUCGCCUCCGCGUCCACUGCUGCUAGAUCCACCUCAAAGAAGUACGAUGGAUAAGAAUUGGAUGCAAUUGGAUGAUAGACUUUCUGACCAAUAUGUUAAUGGAGUUGAUAAUUAUUUGUGAUACCAACAUUGUUCGAGAUGCCAAAAGUAAGUUAUGGGUGAAUAAAAGGUUAAAUGGCGCAAAAUACUACGACGUGUACACCAUUGAUGAGAAGAGAAAUCAAGUGGGUCCAGUAGACAUUGAGAGAGAGCAAUGGAGAGAUUUCAUGCAUUGGUUGAGCUCACCUGAGUUUCAGGUCAAUGAGAUAACAAGACUUUAAAGGAAGCAACUGUUGUCUUGCAGUACAUGAAUAGUUUUAUGACUAUAUAUAGUGUUUUGUUGUACAUUAGUUUUGAAUAGUAUAUAUGAUUGUUAAAGUGUUAUUUUUAGUUAAAUAUCUUUUUUGGUGUACAUCUUUGAAUAGUAUAUACAAUUGUCAAAGUGUUAUUUUUAGUUGAACAUAUUUUUUGGUGUAA